rnacentral:rRNA from 2 species
CCUGGCAAGUCCGAGCGGACUUGACGGAAGCUUGCUUCCGUUCAGUUAGCGGCGGACGGGUGAGUAACACGUGGGUAACCUGCCUGUAAGACUGGGAUAACUCCGGGAAACCGGGGCUAAUACCGGAUAUUCUUUUUCUUCGCAUGAAGAAGAAUGGAAAGGCGGCUUUUAGCUGUCGCUUACAGAUGGACCCGCGGCGCAUUAGCUAGUUGGUGAGGUAACGGCUCACCAAGGCAACGAUGCGUAGCCGACCUGAGAGGGUGAUCGGCCACACUGGGACUGAGACACGGCCCAGACUCCUACGGGAGGCAGCAGUAGGGAAUCUUCCGCAAUGGACGAAAGUCUGACGGAGCAACGCCGCGUGAGUGAAGAAGGUUUUCGGAUCGUAAAGCUCUGUUGUCAGGGAAGAACAAGUACGGAAGUAACUGUCCGUACCUUGACGGUACCUGACCAGAAAGCCACGGCUAACUACGUGCCAGCAGCCGCGGUAAUACGUAGGUGGCAAGCGUUGUCCGGAAUUAUUGGGCGUAAAGCGCGCGCAGGCGGCUUCUUAAGUCUGAUGUGAAAGCCCACGGCUCAACCGUGGAGGGUCAUUGGAAACUGGGAGGCUUGAGUGCAGAAGAGGAGAGCGGAAUUCCACGUGUAGCGGUGAAAUGCGUAGAGAUGUGGAGGAACACCAGUGGCGAAGGCGGCUCUCUGGUCUGUAACUGACGCUGAGGCGCGAAAGCGUGGGGAGCGAACAGGAUUAGUACCGGGGGGAGUCCAA